UUUCCAAUAUUUUAACGCUCAAGUUGUAUUUGAGACUCAAAGUACUCCGGUGGUAACUCAAUUCACAUCGACAGUACAUGCAAA